AACCAAAUAUAAUGCUGGUAUCCGAAAUGACACUGGAAAACCAAAUGCAAGCCCAGUAACCACAAGUAGCCCCAUGGUUAACAUGGAUGUCACAUGUGGCUAUCAAUUUGACAUCCCGAGUGUUGAUGCAGAUGGGGAUAUUGUAAGAUGUCGCUGGGCAAGUGGAUAUUCUGAGUGUGCCGACGUAUGUGGGCCACUUCCGGGGUCAACUUUGUAUCCAAACUGUACCCUUAUCAUCCCGUCUUCUAAGCGAAGCCUUUACGGUAGUGGGUUUUAUGCAGUAGCAAUAAUGUUGGAAGAUUUCCCCGCAACAAACAUAACACAGGGUGGAGU